UUCCGUGAUAAGAGCGCAGCGGACCCACCCAGACCCAUCCCGAACCUGGAAGUGAAACGCUGCAGCGCUGAUGGUACUACAGCCGCAAGGCUGUGGGAGAGUAGGCCAUCGCGGGGC
rnacentral:rRNA from 1 species